rnacentral:rRNA from 1 species
AAUAGAUACCCUGGUAGUCCAUGCCGUAAACGAUGAGUGCUAAGUGUUAGGGGGUUUCCGCUCCUUAGUGCUGCAGCUAACGCAUUAAGCACUCCGCCUGGGGAGUACGACCGCAAGGUUGAAACUCAAAGGAAUUGACGGGGGCCCGCACAAGCGGUGGAGCAUGUGGUUUAAUUCGAAGCAACGCGAAGAACCUUACCAGGUCUUGACAUCCCAGUGACCACUCUAGAGAUAGAGUUUUCCCUUCGGGGGCAUUGGUGACAGGUGGUGCAUGGUUGUCGUCAGCUCGUGUCGUGAGAUGUUGGGUUAAGUCCCGCAACGAGCGCAACCCUUGAUCUUAGUUGCCAUCAUUCAGUUGGGCACUCUAAGGUGACUGCCGGUGACAAACCGGAGGAAGGUGGGGAUGACGUCAAAUCAUCAUGCCCCUUAUGACCUGGGCUACACACGUGCUACAAUAGACGGUACAAAGAGUCGCUAACUCGCGAGAGUACGCUAAUCUCAUAAAACCGUUCUCAGUUCGGAUUGUAGG